UACGGAGGGUGCAAGCGUUAUCCGGAUUCACUGGGUUUAAAGGGUGCGUAGGUGGGUCUGUAAGUCCGUGGUGAAAUCUCCAAGCUUAACUUGGAAACUGCCGUGGAUACUAUAGAUCUUGAAUAUUGUGGAGGUAAGCGGAAUAUGUCAUGUAGCGGUGAAAUGCUUAGAUAUGACAUAGAACACCUAUUGCGAAGGCAGCUUACUACGCAUAUAUUGACGCUGAGGCACGAAAGCGUGGGGAUCAAACAGG
rnacentral:rRNA from 1 species